UACGGAGGAUGCAAGCGUUAUCCGGAUUUAUUGGGUUUAAAGGGUGCGCAGGUUGUUUGAUAAGUCAGUGGUGAAAGUCUGUCGCUUAACGGUAGGAUUGCCAUUGAUACUGUUGGACUUGAAUAUGGAUGAGGUAGGCGGAAUGUGUAGUGUAGUGGUGAAAUGCAUAGAUAUUACACAGAACACCGAUUGCGAAGGCAGCUUACUAAUCCAUCAUUGACGCUGAGGCACGAAAGCGUGGGGAUCAAACU
rnacentral:rRNA from 1 species